ensembl:lncRNA
AAAGGAUUUGUGUGAUGUUUCUCUUCCAUGUGUGGCUGAAAAAGGCUACCUGGAAUAUGAGUCUUUUAUCUAUUGUUAUCAGAGACAAACUCUUCCCCAACUAUGAAACCCCAAACACCCUGGAAACAAAAAGAAUUUUUCACCAACAAAGCCUGACAGGAUCAGAAGCCCACCAGGGCGGCUGGGACCCACCUGCUCUCCCCCUGCCAACACACUCUGUGCAAACAACAGACGACCGUGUACAGACACUUGGAUCCCCCCCGCGGCGCAGACUCACAAUACGCCAACUGCAGACAGCUCAGACUUUCUCUCCCUUGUCUCUCUAUAGAUUUCGACGAGCUGGAUAAACGAUUCACGUAUGAUUACUUUACUCUGCGGAAGGCCGGGCUGGUGGUGGCGGCGGUGCUCUUCCUCCUCGGCCUCCUGGUGCUGGGCUGCGGACCCGGAGGACGCCUGCCAAAAUGCCGCCGUCUGAGGGCCACAAAGUAAGGAGCUGUGGUCGUCUUCCCUGAUGGUCCUCUACUCACACUUUCUAAGUUUCAAGUUUCAAGAUUAGUUCAUAUUCAUACAUUGCCAAAAUGGUAAACAUCUGCAAUUCAGACCAGUUAGACAUCCGCAUGAUCCUUUGGCAUGCAUGAAUGGAUCCCCACAAGUAAGCUAUUGAAAGCUUUUGAGAGGGGGGCCCAAAGUUCAUAAAGAGAGUAAUUAAAAGUGCAGUGCACAAUGUGGUACCGUCAUACAGAUACGCAAACGUUAGACAUUACAAUUCAAUCAAACAUAUUAUACAUACAAUCAAUCAUACAGUCAUCCCAGUACAUCCAUCGUUGGAAGGAAGCUGACGGUUAGGCCGGGGUCUCGGGCUACCAGUGAUGGGGCCGGGUAGCUCUGACGAGUUGAUUGUGCCUGAAGAUUUGUAGUACUGAUGAAAUGCAGCAUUUAGACGGGUGUGUGUACACUAAAGGAUCAAUUCAAAUAUAUGUGUGCACGGGUGACAGAAUGCUGACUGGGUAUGCGUGGUGCUGAACGCCUCAGCCGGGCCGGAUUCAGCACUUGUGUUGCGCAAUGCAAUAAUGGAUUAAACAGCGAGGCGUCAAGUGUUAAUCAUUUUUCCUAGUUCUGUGGAACGUCACUGCAUGACUUAUUAAUCCUUUGCUGUUUGCUUUGCCUUUCUGCUUUGCACGUGUGUAAAUGUGGGCGUUCCUGGGUGUACCUGUUUGUCUAUGUGCGUGUUUUUUUUGUUUUUCUGUGUGUGUGUUUUUCAGGUCAUACCAAAUGGAGAAAAAAUGAGGACAGAGUUUCUGCAGAGUUAUGUAAAGUGUAGACUAACUUUGGAGUUGUGUGUGCAGAAAGCAUCAGUAAAGUACAAUUACCUAAAUAAAAUCCUUGCCUGUGUGUGUGUGUGUGUGUGUGUGUGUGUGUGUGUGUGUGUGUGUGCGCGCGCG